rnacentral:misc_RNA from 1 species
GAUGAAGAACGUAGCGAAAUGCGAUAAGUAAUGUGAAUUGCAGAAUUCAGUGAACCAUCGAAUCUUUGAACGCACAUUGCGCCCGGCAGUAAUCUGCCGGGCAUGCCUGUCCGAGCGUCAUUUCUGCCCUCGAGCGAGUCCAGCAUCUAGGUGCUGGGCCCGCCCGGCGUUGGGGCACUACGGGAAGCCCUGUGCUGUCCCCCGUAGGCCCCGAAAUGAAGUGGCGGUCCUGCCGCGGCGCCCCCUGCGUAGUAUAACAGCUCGCUUCGGGACCCGGUGGAGGCCUGCCGUCAAACCUUACUCUCUAAGUUUGACCUCGGAUCAGGUAGGAAGACCCGCUGAACUUAAGCAUAUCAAUAAGCGGAGGA